UUAUGGCUCAGGACGAACGCUGGCGGCGUGCCUAACACAUGCAAGUCGAGCGAUGAAAUCCUUCGGGAUGGAUUAGCGGCGGACGGGUGAGUAACACGUGGGUAACCUGCCUUGUAGAGGGGGAUAGCCUUCCGAAAGGAAGAUUAAUACCGCAUAACAUCUUUUUAUCGCAUGGUAGAAAGAUCAAAAGGAGUAAUCCGCUACAAGAUGGACCCGCGGCGCAUUAGCUAGUUGGUGAGGUAACGGCUCACCAAGGCGACGAUGCGUAGCCGACCUGAGAGGGUGAUCGGCCACAUUGGAACUGAGACACGGUCCAGACUCCUACGGGAGGCAGCAGUGGGGAAUAUUGCGCAAUGGGGGAAACCCUGACGCAGCAACGCCGCGCGAAUGAAGAAGGCCUUAGGGUUGUAAAGUUCUGUUUACGGGGACGAUAAUGACGGUACCCGUGGAGGAAGCCACGGCUAACUACGUGCCAGCAGCAGC
rnacentral:rRNA from 1 species